rnacentral:tRNA from 6 species
GCUCGUGUAGCUCAGUGGUAGAGCACUCCCUUGGUAAGGGAGAGGUCGACGGUUCAAUCCCGUCCACGAGCUCCA